UACGUAGGGGGCUAGCGUUGUCCGGAAUCAUUUGGGCGUAAAGAGCGUGUAGGCGGUCCGGUAAGUCCGUUGUGAAAGUCAGGGGCUCAACCCUUGAAUGCCGGCGGAUACUGUCGGGCUAGAGUCCGGAAGAGGCAAGUGGAAUUCCCGGUGUAGCGGUGAAAUGCGCAGAUAUCGGGAGGAACACCUAUGGCGAAGGCAGCUUGCUGGGACGGUACUGACGCUGAGACGCGAAAGCGUGGGGAGCAAACAGG
rnacentral:rRNA from 1 species